GCUUUUGGUUCAGUGGUAGAAUUCUCGCCUGCCACGCGGGCGCUCCGGGUUCGAUUCCCGGCCGAUGCA
rnacentral:tRNA from 1 species